GUCCACGCCCUAAACGAUGUCUACUAGUUGUUGGGUCUUAAUUGACUUAGUAACGCAGCUAACGCGUGAAGUAGACCGCCUGGGGAGUACGGUCGCAAGAUUAAACUCAAAGGAAUUGACGGGACCCGCACAAGCGGUGGAUGAUGUGGAUUAAUUCGAUGCAACGCGAAACCUUACCUACCCUUGACAUGUACAGAAUGCCGAAGAGAUUUGGCGGUGCUCGCAAGAGAACUGUAACACAGGUGCUGCAUGGCUGUCGU
rnacentral:rRNA from 1 species